rnacentral:tRNA from 1 species
UGGGUCGAGCUGGAUUUGAACCAGCGUAGACAUAUCGUCAACGAAUUUACAGUCCGUCCCCAUUAACCGCUCGGGCAUCGACCCA